GCAUACUGCCGUGAAUACGUUCCCGGGCCUUGUACACACCGCCCGUCACACCAUGAGAGUUGGGAAUACCCGAAGCCUGUGAGCUAACAUUAAGAGGCAGCAGUCGAAGGUAGAAUCAAUGAUUGGGGUGAAGUCGUAACAAGGUAAC
rnacentral:rRNA from 1 species